UCAAUGGCCUUUUUAAAGGCCAUAAAAGCUUAGAGUUAUUUCUAA
rfam:Echinostoma caproni strain Egypt genome assembly, scaffold: ECPE_scaffold0019584